rnacentral:rRNA from 1 species
UACGAAGGGGGCAAGCGUUGUUCGGAUUUACUGGGCGUAAAGCGUACGUAGGCGGAUCGUUAAGUGAGGGGUGAAAUCCCGGGGCUCAACCUCGGAACUGCCUUUCAUACUGGCGAUCUUGAGUCCGGGAGAGGUGAGUGGAACUCCUAGUGUAGAGGUGAAAUUCGUAGAUAUUAGGAAGAACACCAGUGGCGAAGGCGGCUCACUGGCCCGGAACUGACGCUGAGGUACGAAAGCGUGGGGAGCAAACAGG